AGAGAUGUGUGAUGACGCAUAUCAAUAAGCGGAGGAAAAGAAACUAACAAGGAUUCCCUAGUAACGGCGAGUGAAGCGGGAAGAGCUCAAAUUUGAAAUCUUAAAGGUUUUACCUUGACGAAUUGUAGUUUAAAGAAGUGUUUUCUGUUGGAGUUUUCGGUAAAAGUUCUUUGGAAUAGGACAUCAUAGAGGGUGAGAAUCCCGUAUUUGACCGUUACUUUUCAGCUGUGUGAUACACUUUCAAAGAGUCGGAUUGUUUGGGAAUGCAGUCCAAAAUGGGUGGUAAAUUUCAUCUAAAGCUAAAUAUUGGCGAGAGACCGAUAGCGAACAAGUACCGUGAGGGAAAGAUGAAAAGAACUUUGAAAAGAGAGUUAAACAGUACGUGAAAUUGUCAAAAGGGAAGCGUUUGACACCAGUGUUGUUUAGUUGAAAAUCAAUUAAAUAUUUUUCGAUUUUAAGUAGUAUUGACCUUAUCAGCUUGCUGCUUUUUUCUCGGAAAUUAUUUAAUGCACUUUUCAGUUAACAAGUCAACAUCAAUUUCUUUUGUUGUAAAAAGGUAAGAGGAAGGUGGCUUGCGCUUCGGCUCAAGUGUUUAUAGCCUUUUACCCCUGCAAUCGGAGAGAUUGAGGUCUGCAGCGUAGAUCCUUCGGGGUUAGAUACAUUUGUGCUAAGCUAUAGCCUUGUAUAGACAACUUGUUGACUAUGCUCAGUCAUGUAGCUUACUCGCUUAUGCUAUUUUACCUACGCUUAGGAUGUUGAAGAUGUAGCACAUCAU
rnacentral:rRNA from 1 species